AGUCACUGCUAUUGGGGUUCGGCUAAGCCAUGCGAGCGGAGGGCGCGGUCGCAAGAUCGUGGCCCCGCACACGGCUCAGUAACACGUAGUCAACCUACCCUUGGGACGGGGACAACGCCGGGAAACUGGCGAUAAUCCCCGAUAGGUGAGGGACGCUGGGAUGCUUCUUCGCUCAAAGCUCCGGCGCCCGAGGAUGGGACUGCGGCCUAUCAGGCUGUUGGUGGUGUGACGGACCACCAAACCUACGACGGGUACGGGCGAUGGGAGUCGGAGCCUGGAGAUGGGGACUGAGACAAGGCCCCAGGCCCUACGGGGCGCAGCAGGCGCGAAAACUCCGCAAUGCGCGCAAGCGUGACGGGGGAACCCCAAGUGCCGUUGGCUUUUGAUCGACGGCUUUUCGGAAGUCCAAUAAGCUUCCGGAAUAAGGGCUGGGCAAGACUGGUGCCAGCCGCCGCGGUAACACCAGCAGCCCAAGUGGUGGCCGCGAUAUUGGGCCUAAAGCGCUCGUAGCCGGAUCAGCAAGUCCUUUGUGAAAUCGGGCCGCCCAACGGUUCGGCGUGCAAAGGAUACUGUUGGUCUUGAGACCGGGAGAGGUCGGAGGUACUCUUGGGGUAGCGGUGAAAUGCUGUAAUCCUGGGGGGACCACCAGUGGCGAAGGCGUCCGACCAGAACGGAUCUGACGGUGAGGGGCGAAGGCUAGGGGAGCGAACGGGAUUAGAUACCCCGGUAGUCCUAGCUGUAAAGCAUGCGGGCCAGGUGUCUAGCGCUCCUUGAGGGCGCCAUGUGCCGGAGGGAAGCCGUUAAGCCCGCCGCCUGGG
rnacentral:rRNA from 1 species